GCAUUCAGGUGGGGCAGCCAUAGGCAUGGCCAGUGCCGGGCUGGCCCUGUGUGGGCCACCCUCCCCGGUGCGCUUGUCCCCCGAGGCCCAAUGCAGAUGUCUGGUUGAUCUGGCUCCGCAGCGUUUACCUAGGACAUGGCUGGGUGGCCACGGUGCACUCCCUCCUCAGUUUCAUUUCUGUAGCUCAAUCGAGAAAAACUUAAACAAAUAAACAAAAAAGGCAGCUGGGUGGGGCAGCCCACGUAGCAUUCCAGCUGCGGUGGGAACAUUCUGUCUUGGAGCCCCCAUGGCUCUGUUUGUGCAGACAGCUCUCUGUCUGACGCCAGUGCUUGCAGCUGGCAUCCCUGCCCCACAGGCUCCAAUGCCACAGCCCGGGCCUCCUUCUGAUGGGCUGUGACCCUGGGGACACCUCUGUGGGCAGCGUCCUGCACACUUGCUGAAAUGGCCGUCACUUCCCAGGAUGUGGUAAGGAGCCAGGGAAAGCCCGUUCCCUACUUCAUCCACAAGGACACUGGGAUCCUCAUCCUGGACUAUGCUGCCCCACCUCCUUCAACGGGGAACAAGACAAAGCAGAGCCACGCACGCCCAGCAGGAGACCGACUCUAAACAAACAGAAAGACGAAUGCAUGACGACAAGUCUCGACAAGAGCCGGGAGAAAACAGGAGGCAGCGGCGUGAAACAGCAUCCUGCUAUCCUUCUAAUGCUUUGCGUAUUGAACAUCAUGUAAGAACAAAGGGGACUUGGAAAAGCAAUCUUCUUAGACAUUUAAGGCUUGAUCAUAAGCAAGCUAACUAAGUUUCCUCAAACCAUUAAAACCAUAAUCACAGAUUUAGGGUGAGUGAUUCUUCUGAACACUUUCAAGACUUCUUGAACGUCAGACAAAACAUAUACAAUGAAAUUCCUGGAGACAAGUCCCUAAAUCAAGAGCGACUGUGGCCAUCUCCAGCUCCCCAGUCCUCUAACCUGUAGGCUGGCCUUCUGGUGACUCACAGAGAAGGCAAGGCCAGCCACCAAACGGCAGGAGAGACCCUGGGGACCCUCAUCUCUCACCUUAAGGACAGAUUGUGGGGAAGUGACUCUGUGUUCCCUCACCCUUCAAGCAUGUGGAUGAUGAUGUGUGCUUCUCACAGUGACUCAUCUGCCCAGUGGCUGCUGGUGACUGGUGGAGUUUGUGCUAAUCUCCAGGGUAAGGCUGAUGCACACAAGGAAAACAAGGUCACCCUGUUAUUCGUGGAUGUCUGGCAUGGGUGGUGCCACCCAGCUGUCAACACUAAGCCCUGAGUAGCCCUGACAGGUGCCCAUGGUGGGGACAUGUGGGCAGUGUGUUUCUCAGGGCUUGACCUUCUUAGAAAGUAAGAUGGGGAUGAAGGGCGCAGGCCUUGAUGGAGAUGCACAGAGAGGGGACAGGAAAGCAGGAGAUACUUCCAUUGCUCAUCAGGUUUGGGGAACAAAGAACAGUGAGCUGGGAAUCCUGCAGGUGGGGGUGUCAGAGCACCGUGUGCUGCCGGUGACCAGGGCUCUUGUACCAGCACCUUAUCACACUUUCAGACCCAAUGACUUCACUUGGACUGAGCUCUUGGGCCCCAAACUAUUGACCCUUGAUUUUUGCAACAACUCUGCAUGGCUACAGCCCCCACUUCAUGCCCAGAGGGCUCAGCAACCUGCUCGGGCAGGUGCUACAGCCCACAGUGGAGCAGGACAGAGUCCACUCAGUCUGCAGAUGCUCCUGCCCUCAGCUUCCUUCAAGGCGCAUCGGAGCACUCUCAGGUUCUGCCAACAGAGGGGACGGAUGAGGAGAGUCAAGAAUGUGUGUUUGCUCCUGGCUGGCAACCUCCUGCGGAAAGGAGACCAAGAUCCUUGCCUAAAAUCAGGAUUCUACUCUGGGCUCUCUCCUACACCACCUUGCCUAGACUAACUGAAGUUUCCAAGUCAGCAGGGAAGAGGACAGAUGCUCUGCCUAGGAAAGAGGACUGUACCAGGCAGACUGGCCCAGAUUCCAGGGGCAGGGCAGCACCUCCCCUGACAAUCAGUUUAAGACCAUGGUUUUUUCUGCCAGGACAUGUGGAAACCAAACAUGAAGAAUUAGCAGUAAAAUUUUACAACCGUUCAAAGCUGCCACCAAUUUCUUUGGUUAGGAUCUGGUACUGAAAUCCAGAAACACCUAUGAAAGCCCCACUUAUGCAAAGCAGACAGCUCAAACUACAGCUUGAUCCCUCACCCUGGGAGCACAGCCUCCUAGGAGUGGUGGGGGGGUGGCCAGGACACUUCCUCCUCACCCCUAGGGAAGGCCCAGUGCCACCAGCCAACUUCACCAUCUCACACCCAUACACACGUGUGCUCACACGUGUGCACACCACACACCUUAUCACUCACACACACUCAUACACUAAGGCAUACAAAUUGGAAAAGAAGAAGUAAAAUCAUCUCUGUUUGCAUAUAGAAAACAAAAGACUCCCCCAAAAAACCUGUUAGAACUAAUACAUUAAUUCAUCAAAAUUGCAGGAUACUAAAUCAACACACAAAAACCAGCUUCAUUUCUAUACACUAACAAUGAGCAAUCUGAAAAAGUAAAUUAAGAAAAUAAUUCCAUUUAUAAUAGCUUCAAAAUGAACAAAAUCUUUAGGAAUUAAACAAGGAGGCAAAUGACUUACACACCAAAAACUACAAAAAUGUUGCUGAAAGAAAUUAAAUAAAACAUGGAAAGACAUCCCAUGUUCAUGGAUUGGAAGACUUGAAAUUGUUAAGAUGUUACCCUAGGGGAGGCUUAUUGUGCAGCUCAGGGUUUAAUGGUUGAUCUUAUAGGUACUUCCAGCUCUCCAGAGACCUGGUGGAUCUGGGUUGUGUAGAAUCUCUGAUCUGGGCCUGAGUUUUCCAUCAAACUGCACCCCAUGCCAUUCUGCAUUCCCAAACAGUCUCCUCUGAGUGGUCCUGUGCUGAUUGAGGGGUGGGUUGGCUGUCCUUGCUGUGUCCCAGUGUUUUCCUGGUGGGCCAGUCUCCCCCACUGCCCAGGCUCCAAACACUUCCCAUGGGAUGGGCUCUGUACAGGUCCCUUUUGAUGACUCACCAGCCUCUGAAUGGCUCCCUUUUCUCAGUUGUUCUGGCUCCUCACUCCUGUGUGGGUCAAUGGGAACCCUAUUAGUGGUCUCACUGUCCGGGGGGGGCCACCAAGGCCCUCUUCUCCCCUGCCACCUCCAAGUAACUCCAUCUGAAGGGCACAGCUGCAGCUUCUGCCAGGUCUUGCUCCAUGCACUCAGCAGCUUGAGCCUUAAAGCGGCUGUGGCCUAAAACACUCAGAGCAGUUUUUUCUUUCUCUCAUCGUGGUUUCUCCUGCCUUCAUGAACUCCAUAGGUCUCUCCUACUCUUACUCUGAGCUCCAGCAACCCCAUCUUGGCUGGUGCUACAUUUUUAUAGGUGUAAAUUGGUUGGUUUGUGGGAGAGAGUGAUGCUGGGAACUGUCUAUUCCAUCAUCUUGACUGGAACCCCCUUGUUAAGAUGUUAAUACUACCCAAAGCAAUCUACAGAUUCAAUGCAAUACCUACUGAAAUCCCAACAGCAAUUUUUUUGAAAAAAUAGAAAAAUCCACCCUAAAAUUCAUAUGAAAUUUCAAGGGAUUCUGAAUAGCCAAGACAACCUUGAAAGAACAAAGUUGGAGAACACGCACAUCCUGAUUUUGAAACUUACUAAAAACCUACAAUAAUCAAGAGAGUGUGAUAUUGGCAAAAAGACAGACAUGAGGACCAAUGGGAUAGAACAGAGAGCCCAGAAGUAAACCCUCACAUGGUCAAAUAAUUUUUGACAAGGGUGCCAAGAUCAUUAAAUAAGGAAAGGACAGUCUUUUCAACAAAUGGUGCUGGAAAACUGGAAAUCCACAUGCAAAAGAAUGAAGUUGGACCCUUACCUUAGACCAUAUACAAAAAUUAACUCAAAAUGGGUCAAAGAUCUAAACAUAAGACCUAAAACUAUAAAACUCUCAGAAGAAAAUAUCAGGACAAGUUUCAUGACAUUAGAUAUGGCAAUGAUUCCUUGAUAUGACACCAAAGGCACAGGCAACAAAGGAAAAAACAGAUAAAUUGGACUAUGUCAAAAUUUAAAACUUCAGUGUACCAAAGGGUACAACCAACAGAGUGAAAAGACAUCCAUGGAAUGGGAAAAAAUAUUUGCAAAUUAUAUAUCUGAUAAGGGAUUAAUAUCCAGAAAACAUGAAGAACUCCUAAAAUUCAAAAACAAAAAAACAACCUGAUUCAAAAAUGGGCAAAGGCCUAGAAUAGACAUUUCUCCAAAGAAGAUACACAAAUGGCCGAUAAGCACAUGACAUCAACAUCACUGAUCAUUAGGGAAAUGUAAAUUAAAACCACAAUGAGAUAUCACCUCACACCUGUUAGGACGGCUAUUACUGAAAAAACAGAAAAUAACAAGUGUUGACGAGGAUCUGGAGAAACUGGAAUCCUUGUGCACUGUGGGGAUGUAAAAUGGUAUAGCCACUGUGGAAAACUGUAUAGCAGUUCCUCAAAAAUUAAAUAGAGAAUUACCAUGUGAUCCAGCAAUUCCAUUUCUGAGCCUAUACUCAAAAGAAUUGAAAGAAAUACUCAUAUAUCCAUGUUCAUAGCAGCAUUAUUCACAAUAGCCAAAAGGUGGAAGCAACCCAAAUGUCCAUCGAUGGAUGAGUGGAUAAACAAAAUGUGGCAUAGCCACAAAAUGAAAUAUUAGUCAGCCUUUAAAAGGAAGGAAAUUCUGACACCUGCAACAACAUGGAUGAACCUUGAGGAAAUCAUGCUCAGUGAAAGAAGACAGACACAAAAGGACAAAUGCUGUGUGAAUCACUUAUAUGAGGAACUUAGAGUAGUCAGAUACGUAAAGGCAGAAGAUAGAAGGGUGGUUACUGGGGGCUGGGGGGAAAGAACGCGGAGUGUCCAGUGGGGCAGAGUCUCAGUUUGGUAAGAUGAAAACUUCUGGAGAUGAUGGUGGUGAUGGUUGCACAACAGUGUAAAUGUUCUUAGUGCCACUGAACUGUGCACUUAAAAAUGUUAGAUGCUAAAUUUUAUGUUGUGUAUUUUACAACAAUAUAAAAAAGAUACCAAAGACAAAAAUAAAACUAAAAAGGUCAUGUGGCUAGAGGAGACAGGACCCACCCUGGGAUCUGGAAGUAGGGUGCCUCUUAGCUAGCGGGUACAGCAGGGCAGAGGGGACUGUCAGAGCUCCGAUGUCCAGGCUGAAGGGCCUUCCCCCAGGGUUCACCAUGUUGAGCUGUGGCCUCAGCCACCUCAGUGGGGCCCUCUCUGGCCAUGGAUACAUUUCCCAAGUUCCAGAGUCAUCUACCAGCUGCUAGGAACACUCCACAGCCCUGGAUCAGCCCCUUGGAGUUGUAGGAGUGUGAAUAGGUGCCCAGGACAAGGGAAGCCUGGAGACAGGAGAGUUUUCUGGAACAUGGGGCAGAAGGCACCGUGGGCCUCCCAGGGACAGCCACAAUGCAGGCCCAGCCCCAGGAGAAGCCCAGCCUCAUCCUCCCAACACCCCUGGCUCCCAAACGCCAGGAUGAGUGGCAAAGGAGACCCAGCUGGGCUGGUUCCAGUACAUGGACCUCCCAGGAGUGACUGGGGUCCCUACUGUCACCCAGACUCACAGACUGGGAUCUGAGAAUCUGCUACUGGGAAGUCACCUUCAAGGUUGUUGCGUUCCACUCCUUUAUGUGGUGGAUUAACAUCAGCUGUCAUACUAAACUUCACUCUAAGUGUACUCUGUGCCUCAGAUAUUGGCUAAUGAGAAUACAACAAAUACAUAAUAUAAAAUAUA